AACGGCAAAGGUUAGGAGAACUAAAACGACAAAGGUUAGGAGAACUAAAACAACAAAAGUUAGGAGAACUAAAACGACAAAGGUUAGGAGAACUAAAACGACAAAGGUUAGGAGAACUAAAACAACAAAGGUUAGGAGAACUAAAACGACAAAAGUUAGGAGAACUAAAACGACAAAGUUAGGAGAACUAAAAC